rnacentral:rRNA from 1 species
CCUAAGUGGUUCUGACGCGCAAAUCGAUCACGGAACUUGGGCGUAGGGGCGAAAGACUAAUCGAACCAUCUAGUAGCUGGUUCCCUCCGAAGUUUCCCCCAGGAUAGCUGGCGCUCGCCGAGACAGUUUCGUCCGGUAAAGCGAAUGAUWAGAGGARUCYGUGCCGAAAUGGCSUGGAGCUAUUGUCAAACUUUGAACGGGCGAAGAGGGGUGCCUACCGCUCGAUYUGGGAGGCUCGGC